UGAUAGGGUUACAACGAGAUACAAAAAUUCAACAAGAGAAAUGAACGCUUCAACUGCUGAUUAGGAAUAUAGAAGUUGAUUGGGAUACUAAUGUGCCAAAGAUUGUAAUAAGUUGGAAAUGGAUGAAUCACAUUAGUGGCUAUUGCAUAUUAUUGAAACACUUUGCUGACUGACGGUUAUGCUGCGAUGCCUUUACAAAAGCAAUGUGGUGUCUAUAUAUAUAUAUAAUACACACACACAAGCGGCAAAGUUGAAUUAGAGAAUUUUAUAUAUUAUAACAAUAUAAUGUUACAUAUUAUACUAAUGUGGAUAGUACUAAUCAAAAGGAACUUCACAGUAUGAAAAAGAAUUAGAAAUGGUAAAAGAAGUCAGACCAUUCAAAGAACAAGCUGAAGUAAAUAAGAUUCGAAUUUUUACAGUGCUAACGAUAACAUGAAUUGUACAGGAAUUACUAGAAAACAACUGAUAGAAAGAAUACAACGAUAUAAACAUGACAUUGCUGCAGGAAAGAAUAAUACUGUAUUAUACAGCACAGCCUUUGAAAGGAGCAUAGAAGUUGAUUGGGAUAAUAAUAUCAUACUAAAGAAUACAGCAGAUGAGGAUUUUAUACAAGAAAAAUGGCACAUAUACCAAGAAAACAUUUAUAACAAAUAUAUUAUUAAUUUGAAAGACUCCUGUAACUUU
rnacentral:lncRNA from 1 species